rnacentral:rRNA from 2 species
CACGGGGGGAGCAAGCGUUGUUCGGAAUCACUGGGCGUAAAGGGCGUGUAGGCGGUCAGGUAAGUGGGACGUGAAAUGCCUCGGCUCACCCGAGGAGCGGCGUCCCAUACUGCUUGGCUUGAGUACGGGAGAGGAUGUGGGAAUUCCUGGUGUAGCGGUGAAAUGCGUAGAUAUCAGGAGGAACACCGGUGGCGAAGGCGCACAUCUGGCCCGAUACUGACGCUGAGGCGCGAAAGCUAGGGGAGCAAACGGG